rnacentral:lncRNA from 1 species
UGUGGCAAUUACAAUCACUGGAAAAAGAUUUUCAAAUUUUAAGCUGGCAAUUGUUAAUGCCAUAAUAGGGUGAGCCAACCAAUGGUUACAACCUCUAUUAUGACAAUUAUAAUCAUCAAAAAAAAAAUUCAAACUUAAACUGGCAAAUGUUUAUGCCAUUAAAACCUAUGAGUAUUGCUUCUAAAUCUGAGCUUUUGUAGC